AUAGUGCUGAGAAGGGCUGUGGAUAUGAUAGGGAACAAGACAAACUGGAAAAAUGUCUUACUAGAAAAGUGGGAUGCUCCUGAGGAAGGAUGGCUACAAGGCUAUACAGAGUGUCUGUUGCAGUGUGCAUGAUGGGGAGCCACUGGGUAGGCAGCAGCUCAAAGAAGAAGCACAGGGUUUUAAGUGAACCUCCAGUGGACAAUGAGUCACCAUGUUGAUGGCUGUGUAGUGUAAACAAGCAGGAAUAUAGCUUGAGUGGCACGUGAGCCCUCUGAAAGUACCCACAGAGAGUACAAUAGGAAUUAACCUCUUUGUUUUCAACGGCAAGAGCAAGCAGCAUAAGGACUUUACACCAUGAGGUUUAGGUUAGGCAUCACAGCUGUGAUGCCCCAGAAGAGAUAGCAUGGGAGGUUUGUGGGAUUUCCCCUUUUGCAGAUAUGUAAGAUCAAGUCAGAGGAGUUGUCGUCAGGAGCAUCUCUGCUUUGAGAGAUGUUCUCUAGGAUAAUUAAAAUGAAGGAGCACAGAUAAAGAUUUUGGACCCAUCAAGAAAGCCUUAUGCCAAAUCUGUUUUAUACAGUUCUUGUCAUCCAAGCUGUGUUAAGAAGGAGCUCUGUGUCCUUGCAGUGGCAGGGCUGUAAGCAGGUAUCACGGUGGAGCUGUCACAGCAUGGGCAAGUACAGGUCAGAUAUGGAGAAGGAAGGAGAAGUGAAUGCCUAUGACAGGGAGCCUGGUUGCUUUUGACAAGAAGGAAAACAUAGAUCUCCCAAUUAACAGUGCAGUUGAAGAACGGUAUCACCUAAAAUCUUCCUGCAUAUAAAUGACUCUUUUUCAGAAAUGCAAAUGGAUUGAAUCUUACAGCUGUACUGAGGCAGCUCCAGGCUUGGCAACUAAAUUAAGUUACACAAAUGCAAAUAAGCAGUGAAUGACAUCCAGCAGAUCUGACUGACCUCAUUUUCUCAUCUGCAUGACCACGAAGUGAAAGCAACCUACAGAAAUUACUAGAUUUAUGGUUGGGAAAAAAAACACAGUGCAGGUAAACAACAGAUGUGACUCAGCUGGAAAACCCACUUUUAAGUUCCUGCAUAUAUUCUUGACGAUUUUCACAAUACAACUGGAUGGUGAGUGCCUCAGGUACUGGGGCAGUGACAUUGCAAUUAAAAUGUCUCACUAUGGUCCCUAUGACAGAAAUUUGAACUUCAAACAAUGUUUGCCCUAAGGCGGUCCCCAGGAGGGCUGGCUGCCAAAGGAUGUCUGCUCAAUGUGGUGAGGGGAUACACAGCAACCUUAUCCUACUAAACAUUCGGGUAUGGACCCUUACCAUGCUGUGCUGCAUUCCUCAGCAUGGAAGAAGCUUUGACCUCCAUGAGAAAUGGGAGGAACCUGGGAUCUGCAUAAAACCAUAGGAAUGGCUAGCAGAAAAACAGGUGUUCUGUUACUGCUAUUUAAGCUUUUCAUGAAGCAAACACUGUAUGAGAGGGCUUUAACCUUGUACAACUCACACAGCCUUUAAUUGGAGCACAGUGGGAAAGGCACCUGCCUGCAGCACCUGUCUGUCUUGUCCAUAAGCACCUCCCUCAUAUCAGAACAGUUUCAGUUGUCUCCUAGAAGUGUAUCAUUUUGUUGAGCGAUAAAUGGAACUGUGAAAUAUUGCCUGUAAUCAGCACCCUUUAUGGCAAAGCUCAUUAAAUUCCUGACA
ensembl:lncRNA